rnacentral:rRNA from 1 species
CAAGUCGAACGAUGAAGCCCAGCUUGCUGGGUGGAUUAGUGGCGAACGGGUGAGUAACACGUGAGUAACCUGCCCUUAACUCUGGGAUAAGCCUGGGAAACUGGGUCUAAUACCGGAUAGGAGCGCCUACCGCAUGGUGGGUGUUGGAAAGAUUUAUCGGUUUUGGAUGGACUCGCGGCCUAUCAGCUUGUUGGUGAGGUAAUGGCUCACCAAGGCGAUGACGGGUAGCCGGCCUGAGAGGGUGACCGGCCACACUGGGACUGAGACACGGCCCAGACUCCUACGGGAGGCAGCAGUGGGGAAUAUUGCACAAUGGGCGAAAGCCUGAUGCAGCGACGCCGCGUGAGGGAUGACGGCCUUCGGGUUGUAAACCUCUUUCAGUAGGGAAGAAGCGAAAGUGACGGUACCUUGCAGAAGAAGCACCG